rnacentral:rRNA from 1 species
CGUAGGGUGCAAGCGUUAAUCGGAAUUACUGGGCGUAAAGCGUACGUAGGCGGCUUUGCAAGACAGGUGUGAAAUCCCCGGGCCUAACCUGGGAACUGCAUUUGUGACUGCAUGGCUAGAGUCUGUCAGAGGGGGGUGGAAUUCCACGUGUAGCAGUGAAAUGCGUAGAGAUGUGGAAGAACACCGAUGGCGAAGGCAGCCCCCUGGGAUGAGACUGACGCUCAUGUACGAAAGCGUGGGGAGCAAACAGGAUUAGAUACCCUGGUAGUCCACGCCCUAAACGAUGUCUACUAGUUGUCGGGGGGUAACUCCUUCGGUAACGCAGCUAACGCGUGAAGUAGACCGCCUGGGGAGUACGGUCGCAAGAUUA